rnacentral:rRNA from 1 species
GACGUAGGGCGCGAGCGUUGUCCGGAUUUAUUGGGCGUAAAGAGCUCGUAGGCGGCUUGUCGCGUCGACUGUGAAAACCCGUGGCUCAACCAUGUGGUCUGCAGUCGAUACGGGCAGGCUAGAAUUCGGUAGGGGAGACUGGAAUUCCUGGUGUAGCGGUGAAAUGCGCAGAUAUCAGGAGGAACACCGGUGGCGAAGGCGGGUCUCUGGGGCCGAUAUUGACGCUGAGGAGCGAAAGCGUGGGGGAGCGAACAGG